rnacentral:rRNA from 1 species
GAACGCUGGCGGCAUGCCUAACACAUGCAAGUCGAACGGAGUUAUUAUUCAGAAGUUCUUCGGAAUGGAAGGAUAAGAACUUAGUGGCGGACGGGUGAGUAACGCGUGGGUAACCUGCCCUUUUGUGGGGAACAACUUCGAGAAAUCGGAGCUAAUACCGCAUAAUAAUAGAGGAUCGCAUGAUUCUUUAAGGAAAGAUGGCCUCUGAAGAUGCUAUCGCAAAAGGAUGGACCCGCGUCUGAUUAGCUAGUUGGAAGGGUAACGGCCUACCAAGGCAACGAUCAGUAGCCGGCCUGAGAGGGUGAACGGCCACAUUGGGACUGAGACACGGCCCAAACUCCUACGGGAGGCAGCAGUGGGGAAUCUUCCGCAAUGGGCGAAAGCCUGACGGAGCAAUGCCGCGUGAGUGAAGAAGGCCUUCGGGUUGUAAAACUCUGUCCUUAUCGAAGAGAGGUAGGUAUGUGAAUAAUGUACCUAUAGGACGGUAGAUAAGGAGGAAGCCCCGGCUAACUACGUGCCAGCAGCCGCGGUAAUACGUAGGGGGCGAGCGUUGUCCGGAAUCACUGGGCGUAAAGGGCGCGUAGGCGGUUUAACAAGUCAGUGGUGAAAACUGAGGGCUCAACCCUCAGCCUGCCACUGAUACUGUUAGACUUGAGUAUGGAAGAGGAGAAUGGAAUUCCUAGUGUAGCGGUGAAAUGCGUAGAUAUUAGGAGGAACACCAGUGGCGAAGGCGAUUCUCUGGGCCAAGACUGACGCUGAGGCGCGAAAGCGUGGGGAGCAAACAGGAUUAGAUACCCUGGUAGUCCACGCCGUAAACGAUGGAUACUAGGUGUUAGUAGUUUCGAUGCUACUAGUGCCGGAGUAAACACAAUAAGUAUCCCGCCUGGGGAGUACGGUCGCAAGACUGAAACUCAAAGGAAUUGACGGGGGCCCGCACAAGCGGUGGAGCAUGUGGUUUAAUUCGACGCAACGCGAAGAACCUUACCAAGACUUGACAUCCUCCUGACAAGAUAUGUAAUGUAUCUCUUUUCUUCGGAGACAGGAGAGACAGGUGGUGCAUGGUUGUCGUCAGCUCGUGUCGUGAGAUGUUGGGUUAAGUCCCGCAACGAGCGCAACCCUUAUUUCUAGUUGCCAGCAGUAAGAUGGGGACUCUAGAGAGACUGCCAGUGACAAACUGGAGGAAGGUGGGGAUGACGUCAAAUCAUCAUGCCCCUUAUGUCUUGGCUACACACGUGCUACAAUGGUCAGAACAGAGGGAAGCGAAGCCGCGAGGUGGAGCAAAUCCCAGAAAACUGAUCUCAGUUCGGAUUGCAGGCUGCAACCCGCCUGCAUGAAGUCGGAAUCGCUAGUAAUCGCGGGUCAGCAUACCGCGGUGAAUACGUUCCCGGGCCUUGCACACACCGCCCGUCACACCACGAAAGUUAGUAACACCCGAAGCCGGUGGCCUAACCCGCAAGGGAGGGAGCUGUCGAAGGUGGGACUGAUGAUUG